CGGAACACGUACGCAACCUACCCAUAACUGAUGAAUAGCCCUCCGAAAGGAGGAUUAAUACAUCGUAACUUAAUGAAGUGGCAUCACUUUAUUAAUAUAGCUCCGGCGGUUUUGGAUGGGCGUGCGCCUGAUUAGGUAGUUGGCAGGGUAACGGCCUACCAAGUCUGCGAUCAGUAACUGGUGUGAGAGCACGACCAGUCACACGGGCACUGAGACACGGGCCCG
rnacentral:rRNA from 1 species